rnacentral:rRNA from 1 species
UACGUAGGGUGCAAGCGUUGUCCGGAAUUAUUGGGCGUAAAGGGCGCGUAGGCGGCUCGUGAAGUCGGGUGUGAAAGCCCGGGGCUCAACCCCGGAACGGCAUCCGAUACUGGCGGGCUUGAGACCGGGAGAGGAGGGUGGAAUACCCAGUGUAGAGGUGAAAUUCGUAGAUAUUGGGUGGAACACCGGUGGCGAAGGCGGCCCACUGGUCCGGUACUGACGCUGAGACGCGAAAGCUAGGGGAGCGAACAGG